rnacentral:rRNA from 1 species
AUGAACGCUGGCGGCGUGCCUAAUACCUGCAAGUCGAGCGAACAGACGAGGAGCUUGCUCCUCUGACGUUAGCGGCGGCCGGGUGAGUAACACGUGGAUAACCUACCUAUAAGACUGGGAUAACUUCGGGAAACCGGAGCUAAUACCGGAUAAUAUAUUUAACCGCUUGGUUCAAUAGUGAAAGACGGUUUUGCUGUCACUUAUAGAUGGAUCCGCGCCGCAUUAGCUAGUUGGUAAGGUAACGGCUUACCAAGGCAACGAUGCGUAGCCGACCUGAGAGGGUGAUCGGCCACACUGGAACUGAGACACGGUCCAGACUCCUACGGGAGGCAGCAGUAGGGAAUCUUCCGCAAUGGGCGAAAGCCUGACGGAGCAACGCCGCGUGAGUGAUGAAGGUCUUCGGAUCGUAAAACUCUGUUAUUAGGGAAGAACAAAUGUGUAAGUAACUAUGCACGUCUUGACGGUACCUAAUCAGAAAGCCACGGCUAACUACGUG